CAGCCUACAAGUCCUUUACUGACGCUAAAAGCUCGAAGGUGCGGGUAUCGAACAGGAUUAGAUACCCUGGUAGUCCGCACGGUAAACGAUGGAUGCCCGCUGUUUGCGAUAUAGUGUGAGCGGCCAAGCGAAAGCGUUAAGCAUCCCCACCUGGGGAGUACGCCGGCAACGGUGAAACUCAAAGGAAUUGACGGGGGCCCGCACAAGCGGAGGAACAUGUGGUUUAAUUCGAUGAUACGCGAGGAACCUUACCCGGGCUUGAACUGCAGCAGAACGAUUGAGAGAUCAUGAGGUCCUUCGGGACUGCUGUGGAGGUGCUGCAUGGUUGUCGUCAGCUCGUGCCGUGAGGUGUCGGCUUAAGUGCCAUAACGAGCGCAACCCCUCUCUUCAGUUGCCAUCAGGUAGAGCUGGGCACUCUGGAGACACUGCCACCGUAAGGUGUGAGGAAGGUGGGGAUGACGUCAAAUCAGCACGGCCUUGACGGGCGGGGCGACACACGUGUGACAAUGGGUGGUACAGAGCGUCGGCGACCUGCAAAGUCCGUCCAAUCGCAAAAUCCAUCCUCAGUUCGGACUGGGGUCUGCAACCCGACCCCACGAA
rnacentral:rRNA from 1 species